AGUGAACGCUGGCGGCGUGCUUAACACAUGCAAGUCGAACGAGAACGGGAUAUAGCUUGCUAUAUUUGUCAGCUAAGUGGCGCACGGGUGAGUAAUGUAUAGAUAACCUGCCCUCUAGAAAGGAAUAACAGUUGGAAACGACUGCUAAUGCCCUAUAUGCCUUUAAUACAUAAGUAUGCAAGGGAAAGGCUUUAGUGCUAGAGGAUGGGUCUGUAUGGUAUCAGCUUGUUGGUGAGGUAAUGGCUCACCAAGGCUAUGACGCCUAACUGGUUUGAGAGGAUGAUCAGUCACACUGGAACUGAGACACGUUCCAGACUCCUACGGGAGGUAGCAGUGGGGAAUAUUGCACAAUGGACGAAAGUCUGAUGCAGCAACGCCGCGUGGAGGAUGACACAUUUCGGUGCGUAAACUCCUUUUAUAUAGGAAGAUAAUGACGGUACUAUAUGAAUAAACACCGGCUAACUCCGUGCCAGCCGCCGCCGUAA
rnacentral:rRNA from 1 species